AGUGGUGUUUACAACUAAUUGAUCACAACCAGUUACAGAUUUCUUUGUUCCUUCUCCGCUCCCACU
rnacentral:scRNA from 1 species